rnacentral:misc_RNA from 1 species
AAUAAUAAUAAUAAUAAUUAUAAUCUAUUAAAUAAUGUUAUUGAAUUUAAAGUGUGCCUCUAAUAGCUGUCCAGAACUUCAAGUUGUUGAACCUGCUGUUCGUAUUGUGGGGAACAUCUUCAGAGGUAGUGAUUCUCAGAUUGAGGUACUUCUUGUAUUUGUACCUCUUCAGAAGGAAGUGCAUGAUGUAGCUUUUUUUCUCCUUACUUUUGGGCAGUGUAUACUGUACAGAUCUUAAUUGAGUAGUAUACUAAGACUUAUAGACCCAUUCUUGAAUUGUUCCAACAAUGGUAGAAAUAUAAAUUCUCCCCCAUUAUAAUGGGCAGUCUUAAUACUGUUAGCUAUACUCAAAGGAUGCAUGCAGUCCAGAGUAUUCCAAUGAAACUGUGAACUUCCCACAGCAGCAAUAUAAUACAUCUUAUGUGCGUCAGGUUCUUAUUGACCAUGGAGUUUUUACUAGUCUACAUCAUGUUCUAACUCAACAUGUCAGAAGUAGCAUCUUGAGGAAAACUUGCUGGGCAAUCUCAAAUAUGACAAUUGGGAAUAGACGAAAAAUACAGAAAGUGAUUGCGGCAGAUAUUAUCCCUCCUCUUGUCAAUCUCCUUCAAGAUGAGCAAUACGAAGCUGAGGUCAAGUGGGAAGCUGUGUGCGCUUUGUCAAAUGCCACCCUAAGGGGAUCAAAAGAGCAUAUUAAGUACCUGGUGAACCACGAUUGCAUUGCAUAUUUCUGUGAACAUCUGCUCUGUCCAGACAGCAGGACACAAAGAUUGUGCCUUGUGGGACUGAAGAACGUCCUUAAGGUGGGUGAGGCUGAGAAAGGCAAUGGGAUUAAUCUUUAUGCAAAAAUGAUCAAAGAAUUGGAUGGAUUUAGCAAAAUUGAGAACCUGAAAACAAGUCCAGACACUGGUGAGAUGGCUACCAAUAUCUUGAGAAGCUACUGGCGAAGGCAAGGAUGAAAAUCUGCAAGAUAAGGGAGAAGAAAGCAAGUGAAGUGUAACACGAUGUAAUUAUUUCAUGCCUCGACAUUUUUGUGUGUUUUCUUUCUGGUAGCUUAAUAAAUGAAGUUUGCUUUCCUGUUAUGCAUAUUUAGUGGAUGCUAUGAGCUCUCUCUUUUUCUGUACAUAUUAAGUGUUCAAAAC